rnacentral:antisense_RNA from 1 species
AAGAAAAGAAAAAAUUCAGGAUAUCCUUUAUCCAGGUGCUUGGAUAAAAGUUUAUUGAGUUCAGGCCGGGUGCGUGAGCCAUGGGGCCGGGUCAGUUACUCCUUAAGUAUGCAAAAGCACUCAACUAAAAAACACCUCAGGGGAUCAUGCCCCCGGGUGGUCUUUAAAGGAAAUGGGCUACUUUCCUAUACUGGAAAAAAACAUCUGACAGAAAAAAAGAUGCUCUAGAGUAGCUGAAAAUAAAAUGCCUUGCUAAUGCAGCACCUGAUGAAGAAAUAAGAUGAAGUGUAACAUUUUACUGAGGCCAUGAUAUCCCAGCAUAAGGCAGAGUUUUAAAUCAUGUUUCUCAACAGAGGGAGGAGUCGGGGGCAAGGAAGGACCAUCGGAAUCACUAGAGACAUUUAAAAUACAGUCGGCCCUCCUUAUCCAUGGGUUCUGCAUCCAUGGAUUCAAC